GGAGAAUUAACAGACCCCCAGGGCAGCACUGAGUGAAUACUGCUGUUCAUCCCAUGGGGAUAGGGGCAUCUUCAAAGGCUUCCAUUUGACCUUUUGUAGUACAGGAGCUCCUAAUCUACUGGUCAAGAAACUAUGGUGAUGUUCUGCCAACUG